AAUGAACGUUGGCGGCGUGGAUUAGGCAUGCAAGUCGUGCGCGAAUCGUAGCAAUACGAGGAGAGCGGCGAAAGGGAGAGGAUAGCAUAGAUACCUACCCUCGGACCUGGGAUAGCUAUGGGAAACUAUAGGUAAUACCAGAUAACGUCUCCGGACCAAAGGUGUGAUUCCGUCCGGGGAGGGGUCUAUGUCCUAUUAGCUUGUUGGUGAGGUAACGGCUCACCAAGGCAAAGAUGGGUACGAGGCGUGAGAGCGUGUCCUCGCUCACUGGGGCUGAGACCCUGCCCAGACACCUACGGGUGGCUGCAGUCGAGAAUCUUCGGCAAUGGGCGCAAGCCUGACCGAGCGACGCCGCGUGUGGGAUGAAGGCCUUCGGGUUGUAAACCACUGUCAGUGCGGAGGAAAUAUAGGGGGGUACUCCCCUCUAUUUGACCUAUGCGCAGAGGAAGGACGGGCUAAGUUCGUGCCAGCAGCCGCCGUAA
rnacentral:rRNA from 1 species